AACGAACGCUGGCGGCAGGCCUAACACAUGCAAGUCGAGCGAGAUCUUCGGGUCUAGCGGCGGACGGGUGAGUAACGCGUGGGAAUAUGCCUCUUGGUACGGAAUAGCCUCGGGAAACUGGGAGUAAUACCGUAUGUGCCCUUUGGGGGAAAGAUUUAUCGCCAAGAGAUUAGCCCGCGUUGGAUUAGGUAGUUGGUGGGGUAAUGGCCUACCAAGCCGACGAUCCAUAGCUGGUUUGAGAGGAUGAUCAGCCACACUGGGACUGAGACACGGCCCAGACUCCUACGGGAGGCAGCAGUGGGGAAUCUUAGACAAUGGGGGCAACCCUGAUCUAGCCAUGUCGCGUGAGUGAUGAAGGCCUUAGGGUUGUAAAGCUCUUUCAGCUGGGAAGAUAAUGACGGUACCAGCAGAAGAAGCCCCGGCUAACUCCGUG
rnacentral:rRNA from 1 species